rnacentral:rRNA from 1 species
GACGUAGGUGGCAAGCGUUGUUCGGAAUCACUGGGCCUAAAGCGCACGUAGGCGGCUAAGUAAGUCAGGCGUGAAAUCCCCCGGCUCAACCGGGGAACUGCGCUUGAUACUGCUUGGCUUGAGGUCCGGAGGGGAGAGUGGAAUUCCCGGUGGAGCGGUGAAAUGCGUAGAGAUCGGGAAGAACGCCGGCGGCGAAAGCGACUCUCUGGUCGGAUCCUGACGCUGAGGUGCGAAAGCUAGGGGAGCAAACGGG